rnacentral:lncRNA from 1 species
GAGAUGGCUCAGCCGUUAAAGGCUAGGCUCACAACCAAAUAUAUAAAAGUUAUUUAGUUUAUUUUGAAGGGGUCAUUUUUUUAAGUGAUUUUUUUCUUAAAGCACUUACUUAAGUGCUUUAAGAAAAGACAGGCACAUGGAGAUUAGGGGACAUGUAGAGGGACUUGGUUUUUUGUUUGUUUGUUUGCUUGCUUGCUUUGUUUUUUGUUUUUUUUCCGUCCAACACUUGUGUUCCAGGAACUGAAUUCAACUUUUGUGGGAGCGGAUGUUUGUUGGAUUAUGGAUGAGUACUAGGCAGCAGAUAAACUUUGUUUAAUUUGCAUGUCCUUUACCCAGAGCCAGAAUGGAUUUUUCUGGACUGUUUUUCCAUGUGAAAUCUUGGUGGGAGGAUGGAUCCUUACAAUGGUCAUACUUUUGUGUUGGCAUGACCAUUGGUUUUAAUGUGGAGAAAAUAAAGAAUGCAUAAUUGUGCAUUC